rnacentral:rRNA from 1 species
UACAGGGGGAGCAAGCGUUAUCCGGAAUGAUUGGGCGUAAAGCAUUUGUAGGUGGCUCUUAAAGUCUACUGUCAAAUAUCAAGGCUUAACCUUGAGCAGGCAGUGGAGCACUCAAGAGCUAGAGUGUGGUAGAGGUAGAGGGAAUUCCAUGUGGAGCGGUGAAAUGCGUAGAGAUAUGGAGGAACACCAGCGGCGAAGGCGCUCUACUGGGCCAAGACUGACACUGAGAAAUGAAAGCUGGAGGAGCAAAUAGG